GAUGAGCGCUGACAGAAUGCUUAACACAUGCAAGUCUUUGGCGAAGCUGUGCUUGCACAGCCUAGCCAAGGCGGACGGGUGAGUAACGCGUAAGGAACUUGCCCUGCAGUCAGGGAUAACAGACGGAAACGACUGAUAAGACCUGGUAAAGUCAGGCGGACUCAUGUCCAGCCUGAUGAAAAGAGAUGCUGCAGGAGAGCCUUGCGUCCUAUUAGCUUGUUGGUGGGGUAACGGCCCACCAAGGCGAUGAUAGGUAGCCGGCCUGAGAGGGUGGACGGCCACAAGGGGACUGAGAUACGGCCCUUACUCCUACGGGAGGCAGCAGUGGGGAAUAUUGGACAAUGGGGGCAACCCUGAUCCAGCAAUUCUGUGUGCACGAUGAAGGUUUUCGGAUUGUAAAGUGCUUUCAGCAGGGAAGAAAAAAAUGACGGUACCUGCAGAAGAAGCGACGGCUAAAUACGUG
rnacentral:rRNA from 1 species